CAAAGUAUCUUCUGCCCACUGACUUGGUUAAAUGGCCGCAGUACCCUGACUGUGCUAAGGUAGCGUGAUUCUUGUUUUCUUAAUUAGAAAUCUGUUCAAAGAAUGAUAUGUAGAAAAUCUAUUGUUUUUGUAUAAAAUGAAGUUAAAUUGUGAGUGAAAAUUCUCAUUUAUUUAUAAAAGACGAGAAGACCCCAUAAAACUUAAUUUGAUUAUUCUUUUUAGACUGUUAAAAUUUAGAUGGGAACUUUAGAGUAUAAUAAUAACUUAUAUGACCUAUAUUUUUAUUUUUUGAGAAGCUACUUUGGGGAUAACAGGGUAAAAUAUUUAGAGAGUUCUUAUCGAUAAAUGUGCUUACUACCUCGAUGUUGGAUUAUCUUUUCA
rnacentral:rRNA from 1 species